UACAAGAAGCUUGGAUCUGAGGUGUGCA
rnacentral:piRNA from 1 species